rnacentral:RNase_P_RNA from 1 species
AAAGUCGGAUACGUGGCCGCCGGUUUUCAGGAUCGUUCGCGAUUCCUGAAGGCUGGAGGAAAGUCCGGGCAACACAGGGUAAGGGUGCUGGCUAACAGCCAGGCGGCGCGAGCCGAUGGAAAGUGCAGCAGAAAACAUACCGCCGAUGGUUUCUCCGGAAACACAGGCAAGGGUGAAAAGGCAGGGUAAGAGCCUACCGCAGUUUUGGUGACAAUACUGGCAGUGUAAACCCCACCCGUUGCAAGUCCAAAUAGGACCGCUAUCAGGCUGCCCGCCUGGCGGUCGGGUAGGACGCUAGAGGCNNNNNNNNNNGUCACGGCUCACUGUUGUGAGAACAGAACCCGGCUUAUUUCCGGCUUUGAUU